rnacentral:rRNA from 1 species
CGACGUCAACCUACCCGUCUUGUAACACGGACCGAGGAGUCUAACAUGCCCGCGAGUUCAACAUUCCAGAUGCUGAGCGUGCGAAAGCGGAAAGUAUUUCACUACUAGCGGAGCGCGUAUGUUAGGUCCCGAAAAAUGGCGAACUAUUUCUGCUCAGGCUGAAGUCAUUGGAAACUUUGAUGGAAGGUCUCAACGGUUCUGACGUGCAAAUCGAUCGUGCGAAGCAGGUAUAGGGGCGAAAGACCAAUCGAGCCAUUUAGUUGCUGGUUCUCUCUGAAGUUUCCCUCAGGAUAGCGGUCCCUUCUGAAUAAUGUGCGGUAAAGAGAAUGAUUAGAGGUAUCUGGGGGAUUUUCCUCUAGGCCGAUUUUCAAACUCAGAAUGCGCAUCAGCAAUUUCUUCACGAAUUGUUGAAUUAUCUAAGGGAUCAGUGGGCCUUUUUUGGUAAGCAGAUCGGGCGAUGAGGGUUCCUCCUAGAGUCGAGAUAACGUGCUUAAUGCUACAUCAAUUAAAUGACGUCAGUGCAUAUUGACAGCAGGAGGGUGGCCAUGGAAGUUGGAAUCCACUAAGGAGUGUGUUACAACUCACCUGCCGAAUGUACUGGCUCAGAAAAUUGAUAGCUAACCAGUAGCAACUAAUUCUCGACGCUAUGUAAGAGAGCGUGGUGAUUGGACAGAAGCUAGAGCGUGAGCUCUAGUAGACCGGUCACUAUUGCAGAUCUCGGUGGUAGUAGCACUUGCUAAAAUGGAACCUUUUAGGACCACAUGGACGAAGGUUCCACGACAACAGCAAAUGUUCGUGGGUAAGUCGGCCUUAAUCAAGCAAUUGAGAAAAGCAACCAGGUUAACAUUCCUGGACAACAUAGGAGAACGGCGACGUCAACGCGGUUAUUUGUCAGGUGUUGGAAGGAGGGGAAAACUCUUUCCUCUUAACAGAUGGACGCCUCUGGAAAUGCGUGAAGCAGAGAUAGAGGCAGACACUGGAAUAAGUACCUCCUGUGGGUACUCCUAAGCCAGCACUUGGCCUAUGAAAAAUAGCCGCGUCUUAUGAUGUAGCCGUACCAAUAGCCGCAUCAGGUCUCCGAGACGUAAAGUCUUUGGUUCAAUGGAUGAAUGUAAGCAAGGGAAGUCGACAAGUUCGAUCCGUAACUUCGGGAUAAGGAUUGGCUUCGUGGACUUAGGGCGGCACAACUGCAUACGCGAGGAAUGUGACUCUCACGAGUUGCCCCUCUGCUUGUGUUAGUAACCGCCCUAAACAAUACAUGAAACUGACGCGCAAACGAGGAAUCUGACUGUUUAAUCGAAACGUAGCAUCAUGCAGCGUGGUGUGGACAUGAUGUGAUUUCUGCUCAGUGCUUUGAAAGUUAAAGUUGAGCAACCGACAGAAGCGCAGGUCAACAGCGGGAGUAACUAUGACUCUCUUAAGGUAGCGAAAUGCCUCGUCAUCUAAUUAGUGACGUGCAUGAAUGGAGCAACGAGAUUCCUACUGUCCCUGUUUACUAUUCAGCGAAACCACAGCCAAGGGAACGGGCUUGGUACAAACAGCGGGGAAAGAAGACCCUGUUGAGCUUGACUCUAGUCUGGAUCGGUUCGGCGACUUGUCAGGUGUAGUAUAGGUGGGAGAAUUUCGCCAAUGAAAUACCACUACUGACAUAGUUUCUGAACCCACGGUGUUAGUGCACCAUCAAAAUGCAUCAACAUCGGCAAAUUCAGAUCGGGAGUUUGGCUGGGGCGGCAUAUCUGCUAAAAGAUAACGCAGGUGUCCUAAGACGAGCUCAGGCAGAUCAGAAAUCUGCCGUAGACUGACAGGAGAUAAACUCGCUUGAUUGUAGUCUCCAGUACGGACUACAAAUGCUAACGCAUGGCCUAUCGAUCCUUACGCGUUGACUUUUUCAGCUAGAGGUGUCAGAAAAGUUACCACAGGGAUAACUGAUUCGUGGCGACCAAGAGUUCAUAUCGACGUCGCUUUUUGAUCCUUCGAUGUCGGCUCUUCCUAUCAUUGUGAAGCAGAAUUCACAAAGUGUCGGAUUGUUCACCCGCUAAUAGGGAACGUGAGCUGGGUUUAGACCGUCGUGAGACAGGUUAGUUUUACCCUACUGAUGAACUUGAUACUGCGACAGUAAUCGAAGUCAGUACGAGAGGAACACUUCGUUCAGAUACUUGGUAAAUGCGGCUAGCUGAAAAGCUAAUACCGCGAAGCUACCAUCUGUUGGAUUACGACUGAACGCCUCUAAGUCGGAAUCCAUGCUGGCUAAGCAGUGUUGUCCACCGCUUCCAUUGUUACAUGACAAGCAUUAGGUCUCGGCCCUGUUGCAUACGAGCUGCUCUUACCGUCAAAGGUUUUGUGGCUAAUCUCAAUUUCAAACUUUGGAAGUGAUAGAUCUUUUGCAGACGACUUAACUGAAUCCAGGUAUUGUAAGUGCUGAGAGUAGCCUUUGUGCUACGAUC